rnacentral:rRNA from 1 species
GAUGAACGCUGGCGGCGUGCUUAACACAUGCAAGUCGAACGGAAAGGCUCCUGCUUGCAGGGGUACUCGAGUGGCGAACGGGUGAGUAACACGUGGGUGAUCUGCCCUGCACUUCGGGAUAAGCCUGGGAAACUGGGUCUAAUACCGGAUAGGACCACAUUUUGGAUGGUGUGGUGGAAAGUUUUUCGGUGUGGGAUGAGCUCGCGGCCUAUCAGCUUGUUGGUGGGGUAAUGGCCUACCAAGGCGUCGACGGGUAGCCGGCCUGAGAGGGUGUACGGCCACAUUGGGACUGGGAUACGGCCCAGACUCCUACGGGAGGCAGCAGUGGGGAAUAUUGCACAAUGGCGCAAGCCUGAUGCAGCGACGCCGCGUGGGGGAUGACGGCCUUCGGGUUGUAAACUCCUUUCGCUAGGGACGAAGCGCAAGUGACGGUACCUGGAGAAGAAGCACCGGCUAACUACGUG